rnacentral:lncRNA from 10 species
AACGCCGGGAGUAGCCGAAGGGGACGCCGGGAACAGGAAUUUCUUCACAUGGCUCCUGGAGAAGUGACCAUCACAGUUCGCCUCAUCCGUUCCUUUGAACAUCGCAAUUUCAAACCUGUAGUGUAUCACGGAGUGAAUUUGGACCAAACUGUAAAGGAAUUUAUCGUAUUUCUAAAGCAAGACAAGUUGCAAGAACAAGACAAAGAAUUCCUGGAUGUUCUUCACACAGAUUCCUUGUGUUAACAUUUUGCUAUGUUUGUUUUAUUCCUGCGGAGGCCAAAGCAACUCCAUCUUGGAUACUGAUCUGCCAUAUUGACUUCUCAUUAGCCCCAGUUUCAAGAUACCUCUAAGAUUUCCAGGUUAUCUACUAUUCCCUAUGUAAGAACAGGUACUUACUAUAAAUCCUGACCUUAGGUCAAGCAACCUUGAUGUUAUUGUAC